rnacentral:rRNA from 1 species
GUAAGGAAUAUUGGUCAAUGGGGGCAACCCUGAACCAGCCAUGUCGCGUGAAGGAUGAAGGCGUUAUGCGUUGUAAACUUCUUUUGUAUGGGAAGAAUGACAGGGAUUCAUCCUUGGAGAGACGGUACCAUACGAAUAAGCACCGGCUAACUCCGUGCCAGCAGCCGCGGUAAUACGGAGGGUGCAAGCGUUAUCCGGAAUCACUGGGUUUAAAGGGUACGUAGGCGGUUAAUUAAGUCAGUAGUGAAAGACUGUCGCUCAACGACGGAUGUGCUAUUGAUACUGGUUAACUUGAAUUAGGUUAGAGUUGGCGGAAUGGGUCAUGUAGCGGUGAAAUGCUUAGAUAUGACUUGGAACACCGAUAGCGAAGGCAGCUGACUGAGCCUUGAUUGACGCUGAGGUACGAAAGUGUGGGUAGCGAACAGGAUUAGAAACCCCAGUAGUCC